UCCUUUUCUCUUUCUCUUAUUUCCUUUUCUCUUCAGCUCAAAACCAAUAGAGAUAAAUCAGAGAAAUCGAGUGUGAGAAAUCGAGAGAAACCAGAGAUCAACCAACUGAUUUUGAUUUUGUAAACCUGAAAAGUUGUAAGAAAAACCCUAUUUUACAGAAUCAGGCGAAACCAAAUUAACUUUUACUUUUAGCAUGAAAUCCUCAGAAGAAGAUUCAAUUGAAGAAGAAAAAAACCUAGAAGAUCUCUAACCUCAGAAGAAGAUUGAACUGAAAUUUUUAGAAGGUUCAACUACAAAUCCUUAAAGAUUCAUACGAAAACAGGAAAUUAGAGGAUACUAUGAAAAAGAAAAAGGAAGGUCUUUACAUAUUGAUUGCUAUCUUUGAGAGUAUCAAAUGCUCAGAAUAUGUACUUUAUGUAAAUAAGUCAAUUAAUUCGCUCGCAAUACGUGACUUUGGAAUAUCAAUUAUCAAAUGCCAAUCUCUAAAGUAGGAUGCACCGUGGAGUCUAGAAAAUUAUUCCUCUUACCUGCAGGACUGAACAAACCAUGUGAGAAGAUGUUGGAGGCUCAAUAUCUGGUAUAACCUCAUAAGAUUGAGAAUGUGCUUGGAGCGACAAUUUCCAACAGGGACAACUUAAAGAUGGUACUACACAUUUAGAAAGAGUCGACUCUACAUCUUGCAAGUUGAAAUGCUAGAUAAUGGAGGAAAAUUGGUGUUGUGGCCGGAAAUGAAUUGAAGGUUCAGAGUAUUGAUUCGAGAAACUGCAAGAUAGAAGAAAAUAUUGUUGAUGUCGUGACUGAAAUUAGGAGAUGGGUUUCGAAUUAAUGGUGAAUGCAGUUGCAGCGAGGGGAGUUAGAUCUUCGCAGUAGAAUGGAGUUGUUGCUCUGAACUGGUGGUUGAUGCCAAGGAGAUCUGGCUCGAGUGGUCGUGCUGAUGGUGGUGUGCAGCUGCAGAAGAUUCAGACAUUGGAGCUAGGCCUGAUGCGCUGAAAUGGGAUGUGAUGUUGAGUGUUGCAGUGAUGAUUGCAGUGACAUGGUCUUGUAGUGAAUAUGGAAGUAGAUUGAAUGCGGAUGAGCUGAGAAGGAGAGCCACUUACAGUGAAGCAGUAAUUGGAUAAGUGGAAUUGGUGCUACAGGAAAGAACUGGAGUGUGUUGAUGAAUGGGGGUUUUGCAGUUGAACAAGAGAAGAGAUGGCGAUUGCUGAUAAAUGGAUGGGAGUGACUGAUUAUGGUAAUGCAGGAUAGGGUGCAGCUGUGUAGAAGAAGGUUAUUGCAGCUGAGUAGUUGAUGUGUGUUGAUGGUUCGAUCGAAACUUGGGAAGAACAGUUGUUGCUGCUAUGUUUUGGUAAUGGAAAUGAAGCGAGUAACUGAUGUAGGAGCAAUUGCAGGUGAUGGGUGCAUAGGAAUGGUUGUUUGUCAGCUAGAAGUGGUUGCAGCUGAAGGUAUUAUGAAGCUAUAGUGGGUUUGAGGCUGUGUUGAUGUUGUGCUGCAACUUGGUGGUGAUAUGAAGGAUGACUAAGGUGGUUUGUAGAGUGCCAGGGAGCGGUGGUGUUUAUGAAGUGCAGUCAGAAGUUAUGGCCGGGAGUUUGUGCCGCAGGAAAUGGGAAUUGCAGAAUAAGCUUUGCAACCUGAAAUGGAUAGACAAGACCGACAAGGUUAGAGUCUACAGCCUGAGCUGUGAAAUAGAUGCCGCAACUGUGCAAAAACGCAGCGAGAAUGGUGAGCCAGUGAGCCUAGCCCGGGAUGCCGGACUUCAGAGAUUAGAGUGUGGAUCUUAAAGUUUCAUUGAAUUGUGAAGGGGGUAUGUGUUGGAUGCAAGAGUUGUCCGUGCGAUAUAUGAGUUUGGAGUCGUGCUUUUGGGUUGGUUUUCGCAAGAGCUAGGAAAUGAUUCAGAUGGUGUUGUUGCAACUUGAUUAUGGCUGGAAUGAGAAGGAUAAUGGCAGUGUAAGCUGCAGAUGAAUGGAUAGUAUAUGGAAAAAGGCAACAAUGAGAACUGGGGUGGAUUUUCUUGCCAGUGAGUCGACUCAGUGAUUCUCGAUCCAAAUCAGAUGGACUUGGACUUGUUCCAAUUGGGCUUCACUCAUGGGUUGUGUGAGCGACUGAUAUUUGGCAGAGAGUCUGUGACCUAAGUUGGGAAGUGAAAGGAUACAAAAGGAAGACUUCUCACCUAUUCUGGAGAUAUUUAUCUCUCAUCUUCUACUUUUGUUCUAGGAUUUACAACAUGAUAGAUUUAUUUCUUCUUUGGAUGAACCCCAUGAACAUGAGCUAGUUUAUUUUGGUUAAGGAAUAAGUUUGAAUUCCAAACAUAAUUUUUAUGCAAUGAAUUAGUUUUAUCUCCA